rnacentral:rRNA from 1 species
UACGUAGGCAGCGAGCGUUGUUCGGAGUUACUGGGCGUAAAGCGUUCGUAGGCGGUCUUGUAAGUUUGGUGUGAAAUCUCCCGGCUCAACUGGGAGGGUGCGCCGAAAACUGCAAGGCUGGAGUAUGGGAGAGGUAGGCGGAAUUCCUGGUGUAGCGGUGAAAUGCGUAGAGAUGCGGAGGAACACCGAUGGCGAAGGCAGCCCCCUGGGCUAGCACUGACGCUCAGGCACGAAAGCGUGGGGAGCAAACAGG